UACGUAGGGUGCAAAGCGUUAAUCGGAAUUACUGGGCGUAAAGCGCACGUAGGUGGUUUUCUAAGUCAGCUGUGAAAUCCCCGGGCUCAACCUGGGAAUUGCAUUCGAUACUGGCGAGCUAGAGUAUGGGAGAGGAAGGUAGAAUUCCAGGUGUAGCGGUGAAAUGCGUAGAGAUCUGGAGGAUACCGAUGGCGAAGGCAGCCUUCUGGCCUAAUACUGACGCUGAGGUGGCGAAAAGC
rnacentral:rRNA from 1 species